UGAGGAAUAUUGGUCAAUGGACGAGAGUCUGAACCAGCCAAGUAGCGUGCAGGAUGACGGCCCUAUGGGUUGUAAACUGCUUUUAUAAGGGAAUAAAGUGGGUCUCGUGAGACUUUUUGCAUGUACCUUAUGAAUAAGGACCGGCUAAUUCCGUGCCAGCAGCCGCGGUAAUACGGAAGGUCCGGGCGUUAUCCGGAUUUAUUGGGUUUAAAGGGAGCGUAGGCCGGAGAUUAAGCGUGUUGUGAAAUGUAGACGCUCAACGUCUGCACUGCAGCGCGAACUGGUUUCCUUGAGUACGCACAAAGUGGGCGGAAUUCGUGGUGUAGCGGUGAAAUGCUUAGAUAUCACGAAGAACUCCGAUUGCGAAGGCAGCUCACUGGAGCGCAACUGACGCUGAAGCUCGAAAGUGCGGGUAUCGAACAG
rnacentral:rRNA from 1 species